UUCUGCAACAGUAUAUGGCUCAUUAUUUUGUCUUAAUACACGGCUCGGCUAGUAGAGUCCUUUUCAUGAAAGAAUUCCCCCAGACGCGGUGCUGCAAUCGCAUGACGUAAUGUUGCCAUUUAUGAGUAAAAAAUUUCCGUAUUUUAUUUACAUUUCGCAGAUGUAUAGGUCUACCAGAAUCUGAUGGCAAAAUUUUUUUUUUAAAAAUUAGCGAUUUUCAUAUGGCAAUAAAAGAAAAAUUUCAUGUGUCAACUGAAAUUUCUAGGAAUUGUUUUUGGUUUGGCUUCAAAUUUCCUUUAAAAAGUGAUGAAAAUGUCGAAGAAACCUCUUCGAUCGCAAGCAAGACAUAUUGUUUUCAAUGUUUAUCAAAGAAUAAUUGAUCAACAAGAUGCAGAACAUACACAAUCAUCGAUAUUGAGCCAUGUGCAAGCGUUGACUGGGGUUUCUUAUACUACAAAUAAACUUGGAUAGUUUUGAUUUAGAAUUGAUCAGAAACAAGAUAAAUGAGUUUUACACUGUUUCUUUCUCUCAAAUAGGGAUGAAUAGCGAAAAUCUUGUGAACAUGUAAUAAAAAUUGAAAAUCAGUUCAUAGAACAAGAUCGGUUAAUUGAGAUGCAGGAGGAAAGGUUUAAUAUACAUACUACGUUGAAGACUUUUUUUAUGGAUGUGCAGUAUUUGGAACCAUUUUCAAGUUCUUAAUUAAUUAAUAAACUCAUGAACAGAGUAA